rnacentral:rRNA from 1 species
AGAGUUUGAUCCUGGCUCAGGACGAACGCUGGCGGCGUGCUUAACACAUGCAAGUCGAACGGGCUCUGUCUGGCUGUGUGCUGGGUGGGGUUAGUGGCGAACGGGUGAGUAAUACGUGAGUAACCUGCCCUCUUCUUUGGGAUAAGCCUUGGAAACGGGGUCUAAUACUGGAUAUUCCUGUCUGGUCGCAUGGCUGGGUGGGGAAAGUUUUUUCGGUGGGGGAUGGGCUCGCGGCCUAUCAGCUUGUUGGUGGGGUGAUGGCCUACCAAGGCGUCGACGGGUAGCCGGCCUGAGAGGGUGACCGGCCACACUGGGACUGAGAUACGGCCCAGACUCCUACGGGAGGCAGCAGUGGGGGAUAUUGCACAAUGGGCGCAAGCCUGAUGCAGCGACGCCGCGUGGGGGAUGACGGCUUUCGGGUUGUAAACCUCUUUCGUCGGGGGACAAGGCUCUGCUUGGUGGUGGGGUUGAGGGUACCCGGUGAAGAAGCGCCGGCUAACUACGUGCCAGCAGCCGCGGUAAUACGUAGGGCGCGAGCGUUGUCCGGAAUUAUUGGGCGUAAAGGGCUCGUAGGCGGCUUGUCGCGUCUGCUGUGAAAAUGCGGGGCUUAACUCCGUACGUGCAGUGGGUACGGGCAGGCUAGAGUGCGGUAGGGGUGACUGGAAUUCCUGGUGUAGCGGUGGAAUGCGCAGAUAUCAGGAGGAACACCGAUGGCGAAGGCAGGUCACUGGGCUGUUACUGACGCUGAGGAGCGAAAGCGUGGGGAGCGAACAGGAUUAGAUACCCUGGUAGUCCACGCCGUAAACGUUGGGCACUAGGUGUGGGGCCCCGCUCGGCGGGGGUCCGCGCCGCAGCUAACGCAUUAAGUGCCCCGCCUGGGGAGUACGGCCGCAAGGCUAAAACUCAAAGGAAUUGACGGGGGCCCGCACAAGCGGCGGAGCAUGCGGAUUAAUUCGAUGCAACGCGAAGAACCUUACCAAGGCUUGACAUACGCUGGGACGGUGCAGAGAUGUGCUGGCUUUUGCUGGUGUACAGGUGGUGCAUGGUUGUCGUCAGCUCGUGUCGUGAGAUGUUGGGUUAAGUCCC